rnacentral:rRNA from 1 species
CGUGUAGGCGGUUGAUUAAGUCAGUUGUUAAAUUUCCCGGCCUAACCGGGGACCAGCAAUUGAUACUGGUUGGCUAGAGGGCAAGAGAGAGAAGUGGAAUUCUCGGAGUAGCGGUAAAAUGCAUAGAUCUCGAGAGGAACACCAGUUGCGAAGGCGGCUUCUUGGCUUGUCCCUGACGCUAAAGCGCGAAAGCGUGGGGAGCAAACAGGAUUAGAUACCCUGGUAGUCC